rnacentral:rRNA from 1 species
UUGGCCGGGCGACGGUUGUCCCGGUUUAAGCGUGUAGGCUGGUUUUCCAGGCAAAUCCGGAAAAUCAAGGCUGAGGCGUGAUGACGAGGCACUACGGUGCUGAAGCGACAAAUGCCCUGCUUCCAGGAAAAGCCUCUAAGCAUCAGGUAACAUCAAAUCGUACCCCAAACCGACACAGGUGGUCAGGUAGAGAAUACCAAGGCGCUUGAGAGAACUCGGGUGAAGGAACUAGGCAAAAUGGUGCCGUAACUUCGGGAGAAGGCACGCUGAUAUGUAGGUGAAGCGACUUGCUCGUGGAGCUGAAAUCAGUCGAAGAUACCAGCUGGCUGCAACUGUUUAUUAAAAACACAGCACUGUGCAAACACGAAAGUGGACGUAUACGGUGUGACGCCUGCCCGGUGCCGGAAGGUUAAUUGAUGGGGUUAGCGGUAACGCGAAGCUCUUGAUCGAAGCCCCGGUAAACGGCGGCCGUAACUAUAACGGUCCUAAGGUAGCGAAAUUCCUUGUCGGGUAAGUUCCGACCUGCACGAAUGGCGUAAUGAUGGCCAGGCUGUCUCCACCCGAGACUCAGUGAAAUUGAACUCGCUGUGAAGAUGCAGUGUACCCGCGGCAAGACGGAAAGACCCCGUGAACCUUUACUAUAGCUUGACACUGAACAUUGAGCCUUGAUGUGUAGGAUAGGUGGGAGGCUUUGAAGUGUGGACGCCAGUCUGCAUGGAGCCGACCUUGAAAUACCACCCUUUAAUGUUUGAUGUUCUAACGUGGGCCCCUUACCGGGGUUGCGGACAGUGUCUGGUGGGUAGUUUGACUGGGGCGGUCUCCUCCUAAAGAGUAACGGAGGAGCACGAAGGUUGGCUAAUCCUGGUCGGACAUCAGGAGGUUAGUGCAAUGGCAUAAGCCAGCUUGACUGCGAGCGUGACGGCGCGAGCAGGUGCGAAAGCAGGUCAUAGUGAUCCGGUGGUUCUGAAUGGAAGGGCCAUCGCUCAACGGAUAAAAGGUACUCCGGGGAUAACAGGCUGAUACCGCCCAAGAGUUCAUAUCGACGGCGGUGUUUGGCACCUCGAUGUCGGCUCAUCACAUCCUGGGGCUGAAGUAGGUCCCAAGGGUAUGGCUGUUCGCCAUUUAAAGUGGUACGCGAGCUGGGUUUAGAACGUCGUGAGACAGUUCGGUCCCUAUCUGCCGUGGGCGCUGGAGAACUGAGGGGGGCUGCUCCUAGUACGAGAGGACCGGAGUGGACGCAUCACUGGUGUUCGGGUUGUCAUGCCAAUGGCACUGCCCGGUAGCUAAAUGCGGAAGAGAUAAGUGCUGAAAGCAUCUAAGCACGAAACUUGCCCCGAGAUGAGUUCUCCCUGACUCCUUGAGAGUCCUGAAGGAACGUUGAAGACGACGACGUUGAUAGGCCGGGUGUGUAAGCGCAGCGAUGCGUUGAGCUAACCGGUACUAAUGAACCGUGAGGCUUAACCUUACAACGCCGAAG